rnacentral:rRNA from 1 species
UACGGAGGGGGCUAGCGUUGUUCGGAAUUACUGGGCGUAAAGCGCACGUAGGCGGAUGUUUAAGUCGGGGGUGAAAUCCCGGGGCUCAACCCCGGAACUGCCUCCGAUACUGGAUGUCUGGAGGUCGAGAGAGGCGAGUGGAAUUCCGAGUGUAGAGGUGAAAUUCGUAGAUAUUCGGAGGAACACCAGUGGCGAAGGCGGCUCGCUGGCUCGAUACUGACGCUGAGGUGCGAAAGCGUGGGGAGCAAAC